rnacentral:misc_RNA from 1 species
UACGUAGGUGGCAAGCGUUGUUCGGAAUUACUGGGCGUAAAGCGCGCGCAGGCGGCUUCGUCAGUCAGGGGUGAAAUCCCGGGGCUCAACCUCGGCAUUGCCUUUGAUACUGCGGAGCUGGAGUCCGGAAGAGGGUGGUGGAAUAUCCAGUGUAGAGGUGAAAUUCGUAGAUAUUGGAUGGAACACCAGUGGCGAAGGCGGCCACCUGGUCCGGUACUGACGCUGAGGCGCGAAAGCGUGGGGAAGCAAACAGG